GGGGAGUGUUAUAGCCCGUUGCGUAAUACCCUGGCGGGGACUGAGGUUCGCGCAUCUGCAAGGAUGCUGGCGUAAUGGUCAUCAACGACCCGUCUUGAAACACGGACCAAGGAGUCGUCUUCGUAUGCGAGUGUUCGGGUGUCAAACCCCUACGCGUAAUGAAAGUGAACGCAGGUGAGAGCUUCGGCGCAUCAUCGACCGAUCCUGAUGUUCUCGGAUGGAUUUGAGUAAGAGCAUACGGGGCCGGACCCGAAAGAAGGUGAACUAUGCCUGUGUAGGGUGAAGCCAGAGGAAACUC
rnacentral:rRNA from 1 species